GCUCGCUUAGGCGGCCACAUACUAAAACUGGAACAAUACAGAGAGGAUCAUCAUGGUCCCUGUGCACGGGUGACAGGUAAAUUCAUGAAAUGUUCUGUAUUUUU